rnacentral:rRNA from 1 species
CACGUAGGGCGCGAGCGUUGUCCGGAAUUAUUGGGCGUAAAGAGCUCGUAGGCGGCCUGUUGCGUCCGCUGUGAAAGCCCGGGGCUUAACCCCGGGUCGGCAGUGGAUACGGGCAGGCUAGAGGUAGGUAGGGGAGAAUGGAAUUCCCGGUGUAGCGGUGAAAUGCGUAGAGAUCGGCAGGAACACCUAGGGGGAAACCAGUGGACUGGGCAUCGGCUGACGCUCAGGUGCGAAAGCGUGGGGAGCGAACCGG